rnacentral:other from 1 species
UUCACCCUGCGAUGUACGUGUUGGCGCGUCAUUAUUUGAACCAACACCUAUUUGCAUGGGAGCCCGAUUCUAUUCACCGUGUGUAAGCUUCACCAGAUGAAGUUUCCUAAAGUGAUAGUAUAAGGCGCCCACCUGGUAUCCAGGUCCAAAUAGAGUGCCUCACGGCAAAGCGGGGUCUUU